GUACCGUGAGGGAAAGGCGAAAAGAACCCCGGCGAGGGGAGUGAAAUAGAACCUGAAACCGUGUACGUACAAGCAGUGGGAGCACCUUCGUGGUGUGACUGCGUACCUUUUGUAUAAUGGGUCAGCGACUUAUAUUUUGUAGCAAGGUUAACCGUAUAGGGGAGCCGUAGGGAAACCGAGUCUUAACUGGGCGACUAGUUGCAAGGUAUAGACCCGAAACCCGGUGAUCUAGCCAUGGGCAGGUUGAAGGUUGGGUAACACUAACUGGAGGACCGAACCGACUAAUGUUGAAAAAUUAGCGGAUGACUUGUGGCUGGGGGUGAAAGGCCAAUCAAACCGGGAGAUAGCUGGUUCUCCCCGAAAGCUAUUUAGGUAGCGCCUCGUGAACUCAUCUUCGGGGGUAGAGCACUGUUUCGGCUAGGGGGCCAUCCCGGCUUACCAAACCGAUGCAAACUCCGAAUACCGAAGAAUGUUAUCACGGGAGACACACGGCGGGUGCUAACGUCCGUCGUGAAGAGGGAAACAACCCAGACCGCCAGCUAAGGUCCCAAAGUCAUGGUUAAGUGGGAAACGAUGUGGGAAGGCAUAGACAGCCAGGAUGUUGGCUUAGAAGCAGCCAUCAUUUAAAGAAAGCGUAAUAGCUCACUGGUCGAGUCGGCCUGCGCGGAAGAUGUAACGGGGCUAAACCAUGCACCGAAGCUGCGGCAGCGACGCUUAGCGUUGUUGGGUAGGGGAGCGUUCUGUAAGCCGUUGAAGG
rnacentral:ncRNA from 1 species